GCGUAACAAGGUUUCCGUAGGUGAACCUGCGGAAGGAUCAUUAAAGAUUCUAAGGCUUCGGUCUUAAUUUCGGCUGUGCGCUCAGGCUGCACGCCGAUAACCUCUCACACCUGUGCACCUUUUCGGUUGCGGUUUCGGCCGCUUCCGCUUUUACAUGCAACCACGAAAAGUCUAGAAUGUGACGAGAACUAUAAAGUAACAACUUUCAACAACGGAUCUCUUGGCUCUCGCAUCGAUGAAGAACGCAGCGAAAUGCGAUAAGUAAUGUGAAUUGCAGAAUUCAGUGAAUCAUCGAAUCUUUGAACGCACCUUGCGCUCCUUGGUAUUCCAUGGAGCAUGCCUGUUUGAGUGUCACGUAAACCCUCACCCCUGCGAUGUAACAGUCGCCUGCGGUGGACUUGGACCGUGCCGGUAAUCGGCUCGUCUUGAAAUGCAUUAGCUGGCGCUUUUAGAGUGCUGGGCGAACGGUGUGAUAAUUAUCUGCGCCGACUGCCCUGGGCCUCUUCAGCGGCGCUGCUUACAGCCGUCCCUUGUGGACAACUAUUUUAAAGCUUUGGCCUCAAAUCAGGUAGGACUACCCGCUGAACUUAAGCAUAUCAAA
rnacentral:rRNA from 1 species